AACGAACGCUGGCGGCAUGCCUAACACAUGCAAGUCGAACGAAGGCUUCGGCCUUAGUGGCGCACGGGUGCGUAACGCGUGGGAAUCUGCCCUUUGCUUCGGAAUAACAGUUAGAAAUGACUGCUAAUACCGGAUGAUGUCGCAAGACCAAAGAUUUAUCGGCAAAGGAUGAGCCCGCGUAGGAUUAGCUAGUUGGUGGGGUAAAGGCCUACCAAGGCGACGAUCCUUAGCUGGUCUGAGAGGAUGAUCAGCCACACUGGGACUGAGACACGGCCCAGACUCCUACGGGAAGCAGCAGUGGGGAAUAUUGGACAAUGGGCGAAAGCCUGAUCCAGCAAUGCCGCGUGAGUGAUGAAGGCCUUAGGGUUGUAAAGCUCUUUUACCCGGGAUGAUAAUGACAGUACCGGGAGAAUAAGCUCCGGCUAACUCCGUG
rnacentral:rRNA from 1 species